rnacentral:rRNA from 1 species
GACGAACGCUGGCGGCGCGCUUAACACAUGCAAGUCGAACGGAAAGGCCCCUUCGGGGGUACUCGAGUGGCGAACAGGUGAGUAACACGUGAGUAACCUGCCCUUGACUUCGGGAUAACUUCAGGAAACUGGGGCUAAUACCGGAUAGGAAUCCUUGCUGCAUGGUGGGGGUUGGAAAGCUUCGGCGGUUUUGGAUGGACUCGCGGCUUAUCAGCUUGUUGGUGGGGUAGUGGCUUACCAAGGCUUUGACGGGUAGCCGGCCUGAGAGGGCGACCGGCCACAUUGGGACUGAGAUACGGCCCAGACUCCUACGGGAGGCAGCAGUGGGGAAUAUUGCACAAUGGGCGGAAGCCUGAUGCAGCAACGCCGCGGGCGGGAUGACGGCCUUCGGGUUGUAUACCGCUUUCAGCAGGGGCGAAGCUUGUGGUGACGGUACCUGCAGAAGAAGCACCGGCUAACUACGUG